UCAUUAAGAAGCUAUGGAACAGCGUUAGCCUUUUAAGCUAGAGAAAGAGGGACAAUGCCCCUCCUUAAUGGU
rnacentral:tRNA from 1 species